rnacentral:rRNA from 1 species
GAUGAACGCUAGCGACAGGCUUAACACAUGCAAGUCGAGGGGCAGCAUAAAAGUAGCAAUACUUUGGUGGCGACCGGCGCACGGGUGAGUAACGCGUAUGCAACCUACCUAUCAGAGGGGAAUAACCCGGCGAAAGUCGGACUAAUACCGCAUAAAACAGGGGCACCGCAUGGUGAUAUUUGUUAAAGAAAUUCGCUGAUAGAUGGGCAUGCGUUCCAUUAGGUAGUUGGUGAGGUAACGGCUCACCAAGCCGACGAUGGAUAGGGGAACUGAGAGGUUGGUCCCCCACACUGGUACUGAGACACGGACCAGACUCCUACGGGAGGCAGCAGUGAGGAAUAUUGGUCAAUGGGCGGGAGCCUGAACCAGCCAAGUCGCGUGAAGGAAGAAGGAUCUAUGGUUCGUAAACUUCUUUUGCAGGGGAAUAAAGUGCAGGACGUGUCCUGUUUUGUAUGUACCCUGAGAAUAAGGAUCGGCUAACUCCGUGCCAGCAGCCGCGGUAAACACG